rnacentral:rRNA from 1 species
GACGUAGGGCGCGAGCGUUGUCCGGAUUUAUUGGGCGUAAAGAGCUCGUAGGCGGCUUGUCGCGUCGUUCGUGAAAACCUGCAGCUCAACUGCAGGCUUGCGGUCGAUACGGGCAGGCUAGAGUUCGGUAGGGGAGACUGGAAUUCCCGGUGUAGUGGUGAAAUGCGUAGAGAUCGGGAGGAACACCCGCGGCGAAGGCGGCCACCUGGACCAGACCUGACGCUGAGGCGCGAAGGCCGGGGGAGCGAACGGG